rnacentral:rRNA from 1 species
GAUGAACGCUGGCGGCGUGCCUAAUACAUGCAAGUCGAGCGAACAGACGAGGCGCUUGCUCCUCUGACGUUAGCGGCGGACGGGUGAGUAACACGUGGAUAACCUCCCUAUAAGACUGGGAUCACUUCGGGAAACCGGAGCUAAUACCGGAUAAUAUAUUGAACCGCAUGGUUCAAUAGUGAAAGACGGUUUUGCUGUCACUUAUAGAUGGAUCCGCGCCGCAUUAGCUAGUUGGUAAGGUAACGGCUUACCAAGGCAACGAUGCGUAGCCGACCUGAGAGGGUGAUCGGCCACACUGGAACUGAGACACGGUCCAGACGCCUACGGGAGGCAGCAGUAGGGAAUCUUCCGCAAUGGGCGAAAGCCUGACGGAGCAACGCCGCGUGAGUGAUGAAGGUCUUCGGAUCGUAAAACUCUGUUAUUAGGGAAGAACAAAUGUGUAAGUAACUAUGCACGUCUUGACGGUACCUAAUCAGAAAGCCACGGCUAACUACGUG